UGGGGAAUAUUGGACAAUGGGCGCAAGCCUGAUACAGCCAUGCCGCGUGUGUGAAGAAGGCCUUUUGGUUGUAAAGCACUUUAAGCGAGGAGGAGGCUACUUGGAUUAAUACUCUAGGAUAGUGGACGUUACUCGCAGAAUAAGCACCGGCUAACUCUGUGCCAGCAGCCGCGGUAAUACAGAGGGUGCGAGCGUUAAUCGGAUUUACUGGGCGUAAAGCGUGCGUAGGCGGCUUUUUAAGUCGGAUGUGAAAUCCCUGAGCUUAACUUAGGAAUUGCAUUCGAUACUGGGAAGCUAGAGUAUGGGAGAGGAUGGUAGAAUUCCAGGUGUAGCGGUGAAAUGCGUAGAGAUCUGGAGGAAUACCGAUGGCGAAGGCAGCCAUCUGGCCUAAUACUGACGCUGAGGUACGAAAGCAUGGGGAGCAAACAGG
rnacentral:rRNA from 1 species